GACGGGGGGGCAAGUGUUCUUCGGAAUGACUGGGCGUAAAGGGCACGUAGGCGGCCGUGUAAGUCACUUGUGAAAUCCCGGGGCUCAACUCCGGGGCCGCAGGUGAGACUGCGUGGCUAGAGCACGGUAGAGGCGAGUGGAAUUCCCGGUGUAGCGGUGGAAUGCGUAGAUAUCGGGAAGAACACCGGUGGCGAAGGCGGCUCGCUGGGCCGUUGCUGACGCUGAGGCGCGAAAGCGUGGGGAGCAAACAGG
rnacentral:rRNA from 1 species